UCUUCUCUUCUCUUGGAAUGCAUAGUCUAUCCUUUUCUUCCUUUGACUCAGAAACCCUCAUAAUUAGCACUUUGAAUUGGCCUUUCAAUAAUUGAAUAGGUCAUAUAUGAGACCCUCUCCCCAUAUCAGUCCAUACCUAGGUAAAAAGGAAUCGAAUCUUAGUCAUCACUCCUCAGUCGAUUUCAAAACAUAACUCUAUAUUCAAGGGUAUAGAUUUUGGGUUGAAGUUGUUACGAUUUCAAGACCUAAACAUCAUAUACAUAAACCACCACUCUCCAUUCAAGAUGGUGCAACAAUGCAUACUAGUAAUUUUCUUUUUUAAUCAUUCGCCUUAUGCAACUUUCAAAGCUAGAGAGUAUCUUGAUAAGCCUGCAAUACAUAAGACAAUGAUGAAAGUAUGUAAGUUAUAUCUUAGAUUUCCUAUAUAAAUAGGGCUAACGUUAUGUUGAUGUCAUCAUGUUAGUGUUUUUCUUCUUAAAGAAUAGAACCUUCUUUUUUUGGCAGACAACCUGUGUGUAGUCUAAGUGACAUUUUUAUCAUUUUACAUGCCGUUCUAAAUUUUGUCUUUAAAUCGACUGGAAAAAUCAUAUUUUGAAGGUGGAAAUAUUAAAGGAAUAGUUGCAGAGGGAAAGAGAGUUGAGGAAACUGCUUGAGGCUGGAUGCACAAUGUCAAAGAAGAUGUUACCUUUACCAGGCUCCAUUGAUGAAAGUAUGUUACAGUCUUUUCUUAAGUCUUUUUUUGGAGUAUUUUUUUUUUUCAUUUAAUUGGAGGUAUGGCAUGUUUCAGCAGAUCUAUGUGUAUUGUUGUUUAAAUUUGAGGUAGGAGUAUGCUACUUCUCAAAGUCAGAAAGGUAAUAGUUUGAUAUCAUUUUGGCAAUGAAAAUUUUAAGCUAACCAUCUUAAAAUGCAUUUUAUUUUCGUUUGUUUAAAUUCUACCAAGACUAUUUUUGUUAAAAUCUUAACCAUCUCCUGUAACUAUCACUUUUUAUGAUGUGUUUGUGUUAACUUUAGCUUUGAGAAACUCGAAGAGGAUUCUUUAUUGCUUACACUUCCAUAUAGUUGCUCAGUUUAUAAGUCGAAAACUAAUAAUGCCGAUUGGGCAUAAGGGUGGUGACGGUGAGGAAGGACAUUCAGCAGGAGGUUGAAAUAUGUGAUUUUGAAAGCAUCCAUAGAGGAUAAUAUUUACCGAGGGGUUAGAAUAAACUGGAAUUUAACAUUUUAUACAAGUAAUAAUGCAUUAGGAAGUGUUAUUCAAAGUCAAUGAAAUGCACAUGCAAUUAUGGUAUUAUCAUUCCAGCUUACAUUCUUAACAAGAUCACCAUUUGAACUUGUAACAAGAUCACCAUUUGAACUUGUGAGAUGGAAGCUGGC